GGCGGACGGGUGAGUAAUGCUUAGGAAUCUGCCUAUUAGUGGGGGACAACAUCUCGAAAGGGAUGCUAAUACCGCAUACGUCCUACGGGAGAAAGCAGGGGAUCUUCGGACCUUGCGCUAAUAGAUGAGCCUAAGUCGGAUUAGCUAGUUGGUGGGGUAAAGGCCUACCAAGGCGACGAUCUGUAGCGGGUCUGAGAGGAUGAUCCGCCACACUGGGACUGAGACACGGCCCAGACUCCUACGGGAGGCAGCAGUGGGGAAUAUUGGACAAUGGGGGGAACCCUGAUCCAGCCAUGCCGCGUGUGUGAAGAAGGCCUUAUGGUUGUAAAGCACUUUAAGCGAGGAGGAGGCUACUCUAGUUAAUACCUAGGGAUAGUGGACGUUACUCGCAGAAUAAGCACCGGCUAACUCUGUGCCAGCAGCCGCGGUAAUACAGAGGGUGCGAGCGUUAAUCGGAUUUACUGGGCGUAAAGCGUGCGUAGGCGGCUUAUUAAGUCGGAUGUGAAAUCCCCGAGCUUAACUUGGGAAUUGCAUUCGAUACUGGUGAGCUAGAGUAUGGGAGAGGAUGGUAGAAUUCCAGGUGUAGCGGUGAAAUGCGUAGAGAUCUGGAGGAAUACCGAUGGCGAAGGCAGCCAUCUGGCCUAAUACUGACGCUGACGUACGAAAGCAUGGGGAGCAAACAGGAUUAGAUACCCUGGUAGUCCAUGCCGUAAACGAUGUCUACUAGCCGUUGGG
rnacentral:rRNA from 1 species